GAGAACGGGAGAGGCUAGUAAAAAUCGAGAAUGCGAAGGAAGAAAAAGAAGAAAAGAAAGGAAAGGAAGAAGCUGAUGACUUUUGCAUGUUUGGGUUUUUCAUUUAUUCAAUUUAUGCUUCUUUUAAAGAGGUAUGUUAAUUAAAUUUCUAGGGUAUAUGAACAAUUCAUUUAUAUUCGAAGUUUAGCAAGAAUUAGAGAUUAUUAAUAUGUAUUUGAGGUAUUAAACAAGAGUAUAUCAAGGAAAUGUAUAAAGGAAGAUUAAUGUUGUAGAAAGUG
rnacentral:lncRNA from 1 species